UUGCUCCAGCAGCAGCUAUAUCAAAAUUGGAACAAUACGGAGAAGAAACCACAACCCCUGAACAAGAAAUGAUGUGCAAGUUCAGAAGCAAUCCCUAUUUUU
rnacentral:snRNA from 1 species